UUGGGCGUAAAGGGUGCGUAGGUGGCAGAUCAAGUCUGGAGUAAAAGGUAUGGGCUCAACCCGUACUGGCUCUGGAAACUGAUCAGCUAGAGAACAGAAGAGGACGGCGGAACUCCAUGUGUAGCGGUAAAAUGCGUAGAUAUAUGGAAGAACACCGGUGGCGAAGGCGGCCGUCUGGUCUGGAUUCUGACACUGAAGCACGAAAGCGUGGGGAGCAAAUAGGAUUAGAUACCCUAGUAGUCCACGCCGUAAACGAUGAGAACUAGGUGUUGGGGGAAUAACUCAGUGCCGCAGUUAACGCAGUAAGUUCUCCGCCUGGGGAGUAUGCACGCAAGUGUGAAACUCAAAGGAAUUGACGGGGGCCCGCACAAGCGGUGGAGUAUGUGGUUUAAUUCGAAGCAACGCGAAGAACCUUACCAGGCCUUGACAUCCCUUGCAGAGGUAUAGAGAUAUAUCCGAGGCUAUCAAGGAGACAGGUGGUGCAUGGUUGUCGUCAGCUCGUGUCGUGAGAUGUUGGGUUAAGUCCCGCAACGAGCGCAACCCUUGUGAUAUGUUACUAACAUUGAGUUGAGGACUCAUAUCAGACUGCCGGUGAUAAACCGGAGGAAGGUGGGGAUGACGUCAAAUCAUCAUGCCCCUUAUGGCCUGGGCUACACACGUACUACAAUGGCGUCUACAAAGAGCAGCGAACCUGUGAAGGCAAGCGAAUCUCAUAAAGGGCGUCUCAGUUCGGAUUGAAGUCUGCAACCCGACUUCAUGAAGCUGGAAUCGCUAGUAAUCGCGAAU
rnacentral:rRNA from 1 species